ACCACUCCAUUUUUUCCCAUGGCAGUUGCAGCCAAUCUACAAAAACUAAUUGAUCAGCCAACAAUGAAAUCGGCAACAUUUGCAUUAAAUACAAGCAGUAAUCCUUCUGAGAUACCUGAUGACAAAACUUUAGUUGGAUUUGCACAAUUGACCAUUACUGAUUAACCCUUCUUUAAACUAUAGCCAUGAUGUUUUAGCUCUAGAAAUAAAUAUCAACAACAGAAUAGAAUAAAAUAAGGUGAGAUUUCCCCCCUUGCAGCUUUCCCCCUUUCUCUGUAGCAUUCUCUAAUGCAUUCAGUCUUUAAACGUUGUAUAAAAAAUGAACAAAGAGAAUUGAUGUAAAAAAAAAUAAGCAACCUUGUAAAGUAAUGACUUUAAAGCUGGUUCUUGUAAAGAUUAUGGUCUUACUGUGAUUCCAUCAUGUGAUUUAAUGUAAUAUUCUGGAAAUAAAAGGUAAUUAAUCAAACUAA